rnacentral:snoRNA from 1 species
AAGCUAGCUGUUGAAUUUGCCUACCUGUAUGUGUUUCUGCAGAAAUUUAGAAAAAGCUGGCAAUAGUAAUGCCGCCACGUUAUGAACCUUAAAAACAUCAAAGUCAUUAAAGACCCUGAAAAUGGUUACAAAU